CAGUCUACUUGUUUAUCAGGAUCUAAGAUCAUUCAUGGAUUUUUCUACUAAGUUUGCUGUGUUCUUUCUCAUUAUUCCCACCCUCUUUGGUUGGGAAAACAUAGAGGGCAACAAACUUUAUGUUGGAGAAUUUGACCGAAAACUGAAAGCUACAAAAGAGGAGAAAAUACAACUAGACUUUUGCAAGCAUGUUGCUCACUGUAAAACUGGCAGACCUUGCUAUUGCUGUUUAAUCUUGGGCAGAACUGAUUGCUAUUAUACAAUGCAACUUUGUGAGCAAGGAUGUCCCAAAUUUCCCCCUCCAACUCCCAAACAUCAAAUCAAAAUUUCCCCAUGAUCUCAUGGCAUAUAUACAGGAGUCGAUAACGUUAUAGCAAAAAUAAUAUUUUGUUAAACAUAUAUAGGAGUAAGUUUUAAACUAAAAGGAAAAAAUUCAGAUCCUUGUAUGUGAGCUUCUGUCUCAGUAGUAAAUCUAUCCUUUUAUCAUUUGA